rnacentral:rRNA from 1 species
UGGGGAAUAUUGGACAAUGGGCGAAAGCCUGAUCCAGCCAUGCCGCGUGUGUGAAGAAGGUCUUCGGAUUGUAAAGCACUUUAAGUUGGGAGGAAGGGCAGUAAGCGAAUACCUUGCUGUUUUGACGUUACCGACAGAAUAAGCACCGGCUAACUCUGCGCCAGCAGCCGCGGUAAUACAGAGGGUGCAAGCGUUAAUCGGAAUUACUGGGCGUAAAGCGCGCGUAGGUGGUUCGUUAAGUUGAAUGUGAAAGCCCCGGGCUCAACCUGGGAACUGCAUCCGAAACUGGCGAGCUAGAGUAGGGCAGAGGGUGGUGGAAUUUCCUGUGUAGCGGUGAAAUGCGUAGAUAUAGGAAGGAACACCAGUGGCGAAGGCGACCACCUGGGCUCAUACUGACACUGAGGUGCGAAAGCGUGGGGAGCAAACAGG